rnacentral:rRNA from 1 species
AACGAACGCUGGCGGCGUGGAUAAGACAUGCAAGUCGAACGGGAUCAUUGGAGUAGCAAUACAACAGUGGUCUAGUGGCGAACGGGUGCGUAACACGUGGAUACAUUCCGGGAAGCGGGGGAUAGCCCAGGGAAACUUGGAUUAAUACCGCAUGUGGUCGAAAGACUAAAGGCAGGGACCGCAAGGCCUGCCACUUCCCGAUUGGUCCGCGGCCUAUCAGCUAGUUGGCGGGGUAAAAGCCCACCAGGGCUACGACGGGUAGCUGGUCUUAGAGGACGACCAGCCACACUGGAACUGAGACACGGUCCAGACACCUACGGGUGGCAGCAGUCGAGAAUCUUUCACAAUGGGGGCAACCCUGAUGGAGCGACGCCGCGUGGAGGAUAAGGUCUUCGGAUUGUAAACUCCUGUCAUGUGUGAACAAGGCUGUCGUGUUAAUAGCAUGGCAGAUUGAUGGUAACACAGGAGGAAGAGACGGGCUAACUCUGUGCCAGCAGCCGCGGUAAUC